GAUGAACGCUGGCGGCGUGCCUAAUACAUGCAAGUCGAGCGAACGGACGAGAAGCUUGCUUUUCUGAUGUUAGCGGCGGACGGGUGAGUAACACGUGGAUAACCUACCUAUAAGACUGGGAUAACUUCGGGAAACCGGAGCUAAUACCGGAUAAUAUUUUGAACCGCAUGGUUCAAAAGUGAAAGACGGUCUUGCUGUCACUUAUAGAUGGAUCCGCGCUGCAUUAGCUAGUUGGUAAGGUAACGGCUUACCAAGGCAACGAUGCAUAGCCGACCUGAGAGGGUGAUCGGCCACACUGGAACUGAGACACGGUCCAGACUCCUACGGGAGGCAGCAGUAGGGAAUCUUCCGCAAUGGGCGAAAGCCUGACGCAGCAACGCCGCGUGAGCGAUGAAGGUCUUCGGAUCGUAAAACUCUGUUAUUAGGGAAGAACAUAUGUGUAAGUAACUGUGCACAUCAUGACGGUACCUAAUCAGAAAGCCACGGCUAACUACGUG
rnacentral:rRNA from 1 species